rnacentral:rRNA from 1 species
GAUGAACGCUGGCGGCGUGCCUAAUACAUGCAAGUCGAGCGAACAGACGAGGAGCUUGCUCCUUUGACGUUAGCGGCGGACGGGUGAGUAACACGUGGGUAACCUACCUAUAAGACUGGGAUAACUUCGGGAAACCGGAGCUAAUACCGGAUAAUAUUUCGAACCGCAUGGUUCGAUAGUGAAAGAUGGCUUUGCUAUCACUUAUAGAUGGACCUGCGCCGUAUUAGCUAGUUGGUAAGGUAACGGCUUACCAAGGCAACGAUACGUAGCCGACCUGAGAGGGUGAUCGGCCACACUGGAACUGAGACACGGUCCAGACUCCUACGGGAGGCAGCAGUAGGGAAUCUUCCGCAAUGGGCGAAAGCCUGACGGAGCAACGCCGCGUGAGUGAUGAAGGUCUUCGGAUCGUAAAACUCUGUUAUUAGGGUAGAACAAACGUGUAAGUAACUGUGCACGUCUUGACGGUACCUAAUCAGAAAGCCACGGCUAACUACGUG